rnacentral:rRNA from 1 species
UACGAAGGGGGCUAGCGUUGUUCGGAAUCACUGGGCGUAAAGCGCACGUAGGCGGAUUUUAAGUCAGGGGUGAAAUCCCGAGGCUCAACCUCGGAACUGCCUUUGAUACUGGAGAUCUUGAGUCCGGAAGAGGUAAGUGGAACUGCGAGUGUAGAGGUGAAAUUCGUAGAUAUUCGCAAGAACACCAGUGGCGAAGGCGGCUUACUGGUCCGGAACUGACGCUGAGGUGCGAAAAGCGUGGGGAGCAAACAGGG